AACCGGGGGCCCUCCCCCAUGUCUCUCAAACAGCGUAAUGUGUGGAUCAGAUCGGGGAGGCUGGCGCUCAGUUGGGGAAGAGUUGGACUCGGACGGAAGUGAUGAGAGCAAAAUAAGCCACUGGGCACACUUUAAAGAAAUCGACAGGACAGUGAAUCCUGCUGUUUGACAAGCAGUAGGUGAUGGCCGAUGUUUCACUUUGGGACCCCUUAUGUGACUCGGUGAAGAUCGUUUCCAUCAGGUGCUGAGAGAAGAUGAAAGACUGGAGGUUCCUCUGAUUAAUGUGGUGGUAAUGAAAUAAAGCAGCUCCUCUCAGUUUAUGUUCCAGGUUUAAGCCAUGAACUGUGAAUAAAGAUGGACAACGUAUCUUCACCUCCUCCUGUUGUAAAGAGUAAAGCCAAAAUACCCCUGACGACAUGCACUGAUGAUGUUAUGUGGGGCCCGAGUUGCGCAGUUCAGACUUUAGCGCAGUGCGGUUUUAACAUCCGACUUUCUGCAAACCAAAAUACACAUUUAACUUACCAAUAAUAUGGCAGAGAUCCCUCAUGUCGGUACAGGACAC